AUUGAACGCUGGCGGCAGGCCUAACACAUGCAAGUCGAGCGGAUGAAGAGAGCUUGCUCUCUGAUUUAGCGGCGGACGGGUGAGUAAUGCCUAGGAAUCUGCCUGGUAGUGGGGGAUAACGUUCCGAAAGGAACGCUAAUACAGCGUACGUCCUACGGGAGAAAGCAGGGGACCUUCGGGCCUUGCGCUAUCAGAUGAGCCUAGGUCGGAUUAGCUAGUUGGUGAGGUAAUGGCUCACCAAGGCUACGAUCCGUAACUGGUCUGAGAGGAUGAUCAGUCACACUGGAACGGAGACACGGUCCAGACUCCUACGGGAGGCAGCAGUGGGGAAUAUUGGACAAUGGGCGAAAGCCUGAUCCAGCCAUGCCGCGUGUGUGAAGAAGGUCUUCGGAUUGUAAAGCACUUUAAGUUGGGAGGAAGGGCGUUUGGCUAAUAUCCAGGCUUUUUGACGUUACCAACAGAAUAAGCACCGGCUAACUUCGUGCCAGCCGCCGCCGUAAAAC
rnacentral:rRNA from 1 species